rnacentral:rRNA from 1 species
UACGUAGGGAGCAAGCGUUGUCCGGAAUCAUUGGGCGUAAAGCGCGCGUAGGUGGCUUCGUAAGUCCGUUGUGAAAGUCAAAGGCUCAACCUUUGAAAGCCGAUGGAUACUGCGGAGCUAGAGUACGGAAGAGGCGAGUGGAAUUCCUGGUGUAGCGGUGGAAUGCGCAGAUAUCAGGAGGAACACCGAUGGCGAAGGCAGAUCUCUGGGCCGUAACUGACGCUGAGGAGCGAAAGCGUGGGGAGCGAACAGG